GUACACGCUGUGACUAGCAUAUCAAUAAGCGGAGGAAAAGAAACUAACUAGGAUUCCCUCAGUAACGGCGAGUGAAGCGGGAAGAGCUCAAAUUUGAAAUCUUCAAGGUUCUACCUUGACGAAUUGUAGUUUAAAGAAGUGUUUUCUGUUGGAGUUUUGGUAAAAGUUCUUUGGAAUAGGACAUCAUAGAGGGUGAGAAUCCCGUAUUUGACCAUUAUUUCCAGCUUUGUGAUACACUUUCAAAGAGUCGGAUUGUUUGGGAAUGCAGUCCAAAAUGGGUGGUAAAUUUCAUCUAAAGCUAAAUACUGGCGAGAGACCGAUAGCGAACAAGUACCGUGAGGGAAAGAUGAAAAGAACUUUGAAAAGAGAGUUAAACAGUACGUGAAAUUGUCAAAAGGGAAGCGUUUGACACCAGUGUUGUUUUCUCGAAAAUCAAUUAAAAAAGGCAGGAUUUUGUGUUGUAUUGACUUUAUCAGCUUUCUGCACUCUUUUCUUGUCCUUUUUAAUGCACUUUUCGUUUAACAAGUCAACAUCAAUUUCUUUUGUUGUAAAAGGGUCAUUGGAAGGUGGCUUUCUUUUCGGAGAAAGUGUUUAUAGCCUUUGGCCUCUGCAAUCGGAGAGAUUGAGGUCUGCAGCGUAGAUCCUUCGGGGUUAGAUACAUUUGUGCUAAGUUAUAGCCUUUCAUAGACAACUUGUUGACUAUGAUCAGUCAUGUAGCUUACUCGCUUAUGCUAUUUUACCUACGCUUAGGAUGUUGAAGACUCUACAGAGAUA
rnacentral:rRNA from 1 species